rnacentral:tRNA from 1 species
GAAACAUGAAAUUCAAGAAAAAGCUUCUAACUUUAUCUUAAGCAGCGCACCACUGUUUAUGUUUCU